rnacentral:rRNA from 1 species
CGAUUCUGGCUCAGGAUGAACGCUAGCUACAGGCUUAACACAUGCAAGUCGAGGGGCAGCAGGAGCUUAGCUUGCUAAGUUGCUGGCGACCGGCGCACGGGUGAGUAGCGCGUAUCCAACCUCCCCCUAGUAGAGGAUAGCCCGGUGAAAAAUCGGAUUAAUACUCUAUGUUGUUCAAUGCAGGCAUCUAAGUUGAACCAAAGAUUUAUCGCUAAGGGAUGGGGAUGCGUCUGAUUAGGUAGUCGGCGGGGUAACGGCCCACCGAGCCAUCGAUCAGUAGGGGUUCUGAGAGGAAGGUCCCCCACAUUGGAACUGAGACACGGUCCAAACUCCUACGGGAGGCAGCAGUGAGGAAUAUUGGUCAAUGGGCGAGAGCCUGAACCAGCCAAGUAGCGUGCAAGGAAGACGGCCCUAUGGGUUGUAAACUGCUUUUAUAUAGGGAUAAAGUGCAUCACGUGUGGUGUUUUGUAGGUACUAUAUGAAUAAGGACCGGCUAAUUCCGUGCCAGCAGCCGC